rnacentral:rRNA from 1 species
UCCCAGACUCCUACGGGAGGCAGCAGUGGGGAAUAUUGCACAAUGGGGGAAACCCUGAUGCAGCAACGCCGCGUGAGUGAAGAAGUAUUUCGGUAUGUAAAGCUCUAUCAGCAGGGAAGAAAAUGACGGUACCUGAGUAAGAAGCCCCGGCUAACUACGUGCCAGCAGCCGCGGUAAUACGUAGGGGGCAAGCGUUAUCCGGAUUUACUGGGUGUAAAGGGAGCGUAGACGGCGAUGCAAGUCUGAAGUGAAAGCCCGGGGCUCAACCCCGGGACUGCUUUGGAAACUGUAUGGCUGGAGUACUGGAGAGGCAAGCGGAAUUCCUAGUGUAGCGGUGAAAUGCGUAGAUAUUAGGAGGAACACCAGUGGCGAAGGCGGCCUGCUGGACGACAACUGACGGUGAGGCGCGAAAGCGUGGGGAGCAAACAGGAUUAGAUACCCUAGUAG